AUUUAAAAAAAUUUCCUUGGCAAAAGCUAUGGUAUCAGAGGGAGCUGUGCACAGCUUUAGAACUAGGGAAUAGUUCAACCUUGGUCAAGGACUGAUUUGGGCACAGUAAUCUUUUUCUGUAAGUGCUCAAAGAGAGGUGCAAGCUAGCAGAUGGCCACCAGUGGAUGUGAUCUGAAAUGCAAGCUGAUUAAAAGCUAUGCAAGUUGGACAAAUGGCUUUCAUGUAAAUUGCCACUAGGACAUAGUCUAGAGUAACCCACUCUUGCUAAAAUAAAUCUACUAUCCCUUGUGUGCCACACUGACUUGAACUAAAAAUGUAUACUUGGGGAUAGAAGUUCUGGGAAGGAGUGGUUUACCUAUCCCAGUCACCUAGAUCUAAAAGACUGUUUAGUAUAAAAGACUGUUUAGUAUUGUACUGCUGUUUCCACUUUGCCACAAGUUGAUAUACAGUGAAUAGUUGGUUCAAAGUAAUAGCAUUAAAAGAUACAAUUACUUGAGUUUCCAGGUGAUCCCAAAUGACACCCACUUAUUGCUCAAAAAAAUUUCCUUUUUCUGCUCCGGAGAAAAUCUCCAGGAGAGAUCUUGGUUCCUCAAAUGGGCAGUGAUGCAGAGUUUCACAAUACUCUGUCAGUAGGGCUCAUCCCAAGGAACUUUACAAAGAUCUCCUAAGAGGAUUUUACCAUGCUUUUCUCCCAACAGUGAUGGAUGACACUCAGCUGGUGUGGCAUCGUGCAGUAUCAAACAUGGCUCAAGAGAACAUUUCUUCAGAUGAUCCAAAUGUUACUUAGUCUGCUGCACUUGCAGUACAGUACAAAUAUCAAUACAGGAGUCAGCAUGGCUAGGUUGUUCUGAACACUGAAUCCGUGCUGCUUAAUAUGAGAUAAAGUUUUGCUUUGGAUUAUCUUCCCCCCCUGGAAGCACACCUCUGAUGCUCUGGGAUUGACUUGAGAUGGCAACUAUUUUGUUUGGAUAAAGGCUGAAUAAUGGUUAAAGGUGUGGAGCUAGCCAAAAAGAGAUCUGCCUUUAAGAAGAGGAUUCAGAUGGAACAAAAAACAGGAAGUUCUUGAAGGCUUCUAAGAAACCAUUUGUGUACGAAGUACACAAAUUAAGAUGACUCCUCGGUUCCUCUAAAUCUUUUCAUUUAGCUAUGAAGGUACUAAAAUAUACAAAAAUCUGAUUUUAUUGAUUCUCAGGCUGUUUCAUGAAUGGUAAUAGUGACUAUUAGAAAAUGCUCUGAUGGAAAAGGCACUUCUCACAGCCGAGCUAUAGACUAUCCAGGGUGAGUUGAUGGAAAAGGGUUGUUUACAGGGCCUCUUGAAUACCAUGACACUUGCACAUGGUUAAGUGGGAUGAAGGGAAUAGUUUAUUUGCCUUAAUUGUCUAUCAUGUUCUGUAACAUUUGAAAUUACAGAAAUGGAAUAAAUAACUGCUUUUAGAUUUAAAGUUUAAAAAAAAAAAAGCUUAUGACCAUCUUGUAGCUAGAGGCCUGCUAACAGCCUAAGAUAAUUCUUCUGCUUCCUAAUCAUGUUAAUGCUUUUAGAAUCUUCUCAAUAAAACAUCUGAUUUAGUAACAAUA